rnacentral:sRNA from 1 species
CAUCACCAUCAUCAACCUGAUUAAUCUUUCAGGCGAUGGUGCGUGGAAGAUUAAUCAUCUUCCGAGCAUUCGAUAUGAAUCACAAUCCUCUCGGAAGAUAAUUUCGAGAGGAUUUUUUA